CGCAGCCGCGGUAAUUCCAGCUCCAAUAGCGUAUAUUAAAGUUGCUGCAGUUAAAAAGCUCGUAGUUGAAUUUCGGGAUCAAUAUGUUGGUCGUGCCUUGGUACGUACUAGCUCAUUGGUUUCUCCCUUCUGACGAACCAUGAUGUCAUUAAUUUGAUGUCAUGGGGAAUCAGGACUGUUACUUUAGAAAAAUUAGAGUGUUUAAAGCAGGCUCGCGCUUGAAUACAUUAGCAUGGAAUAAUGAAAUAGGACAUUUGAUUCUAUUUUGUUGGUUUCUAGGAUCGAUGUAAUGAUUAAUAGGGAUAGUUGGGGGCAUUAGUAUUCAAUUGUCAGAGGUGAAAUUCU
rnacentral:misc_RNA from 1 species